rfam:Strongylocentrotus purpuratus Contig69916_fixed, whole genome shotgun sequence.
CCAACAGUCCUUUUCAGGACUACCAACAAUCCUUUUUAGGACUAC